GCCAGCCUGCUUACGUUAUCCAGACAACAGAAAUGGCCAUUCCUUUCUCCACUUGUUCAUCUUCCAUAGCUUUAGCUCCUCUCUAUUCCGGUGCCGAUCCUUCUUCUCUCCCUGCAAAUCUCUCUUCAAGGUUAAUCCUGCCCGCUUCACCUAAACUCCACAGUGGAAGUACUUCCACCUUCCAUUGCUGGUCCGAAAACCUUAAAGUCGAACAAGUGCCACAGCAUUGGAAAUGGAGGACACGUGUCUCUUUCUCUUUCUUGAGCAGAAGCCAAGACGUCGAGAGCUUGAAAGAGGAACUUCUUGAGGCUAUUGCCCCUCUCGAUCGAGGUGCCGAUGCCACUCCUGAAGACCAAAGGCUUGUUGAUCAGAUUGCACGAAAACUCGAGGCAGUUAAUAAAGUGAAGGAGCCACUCAAGUCCAGCUUGUUGAAUGGAAAAUGGGAGCUUUUAUACACAACCUCUGAAUCUAUUUUGCAAACCCGGAGGCCCAAAGUUUUUAGACCGAAUGGAAAAAUCUACCAGGCAAUUAAUGUGGAUACACUGAGGGCUCAAAAUAUGGAAACUUGGCCCUUUUUCAAUCAGGCCACCGCCAAUUUAGUUCCUAUCAAUGCAAAGAGAGUUGCUGUUAAAUUUGAUUCUUUCAAGAUAGCUGGUGUGAUACCCAUAAAUGCACGAGGGAGUGGCCGUGGCCAAAUAGAAAUCACAUAUCUUGAUAAAGAUCUACGGAUAACAAGGGGUAACCAAGGAAACCUAUUCAUUCUUAGAAUGGUCGAUCCGUCCUAUAGAGUUCCCAUUUAGAAUAGCUUCAGAUGUGGUUAUUCCUCACAACUUGUUUGGAAUCAGUUCCUCGAGGUUUCAGAGUGAUGCAGAGGCUGCAGAUGCAUAUAAUAUGAGCUUGCUUGUAUGUACUGUUGCAUCGGGAUAUAAGAAGAGCAACCUCGCUAGCCAACUUAGGAAAAAUGAAGAUGUAUAAAUGAAGAUGUAUAGCAUGAACAAUUGGAAAGCGUAUAAACAUACUGUCUGUCUUUGUUCUCUGAUUCAACAAAAAGUUACAAACUCCGAAAGCAAUGUCUUUGUUCUCUGAUUCAACUAAAAGUUACAAACUGCGAAAGCUCCUACUCUCUUUGGCUGGCACCUCUGUUCUUGGCCAAAAAAGGCCAAGGCAAUAGUGCAAAACCAAGGCGACACUCAAAGACCCAGGCAGCAAGCUACCUUGGUGGAUCUUUCCCC